rnacentral:rRNA from 1 species
UACGUAGGGGGCAAGCGUUGUCCGGAUUUAUUGGGCGUAAAGAGCGUGUAGGCGGCCAGACAGGUCCGUUGUGAAAACUCGAGGCUCAACCUCGAGACGCCGGUGGAAACCAUCAGACUAGAGUCCGGAAGAGGAGAGUGGAAUUCCUGGUGUAGCGGUGAAAUGCGCAGAUAUCAGGAAGAACACCCGUGGCUAAGGCGGCUCUCUAGUACGGUACUGACGCUGAGACGCGAAAGCGUGGGGAGCGAACAGG